rnacentral:antisense_RNA from 1 species
ACCAGGUCGGUGCUGGUGCGGUGCAGGAAAUCCUGGCGGGCGUCGCGGACCUUGCGGUGGGUGCGGGCGACCUUGGUCUUGGCUUUGCGAUGGUUGGCCGAGCCGGGUUGUUUGCGGGCCAUGCGCCGCUGGUACCGGGCCAGAUUCCGCUGCUUCUUCUCCAAAUGUUUCGGGUUGGGGAUGCGGGUCCCGUCGGAGACCACCGCGAAAUCCUUCACCCCCAGAUCGACCCCGAUCGCGUACCCGACCGGCGGCGCGGGCGCCGGAUCACAGGCAUCAACAUUGAAGGUGACGUACCAGCGGCCGUCGGGCUCCCUGCAGACCACCACCAUCGUCGGGUCCAACCCGGCCACGUCCACAUCAUCGAACGACCACACGAACGCAAGCGGCCCGGCGGUCUUGGCCAGCCACAGCCCACCGUUCUUCAUGCGGAACGCCGAACGGGUGAAGUACGCGGACUGGCGGCCGGUGCGGCUCUUGAACCGCGGAUACUUCGCGCGUCCCGCAAAGAAGUUGGUGAACGCGGUGUGCUGGUGCCGCAGCGCCUGCUGCAACGGCACGCUCGACACCUCCGACAAAAACGCCAGAUCCUCGG